rnacentral:rRNA from 1 species
CUUGAACGCUGGCGGCAGACCUAACACAUGCAAGUCGAGCGGAGCGGCGGACGGGUGAGGAAUGCCUAGGAAUCUGCCUGGUAGUGGGGGAUACCGUCCGGAAACGGGAGCUAAUACAGCAUACUAUCAGAUGAGCCUAGGUCGGAUUAGAUAGUUGGUGGGGUAAAGGCCUACCAGGGCGACUGUGCGUAACUGGUCUGAGAGGAUGAUCAGUCACAAUGGAACUGAGACACGGUCCAGCAUCCUACGGGAGGCAGCAGUGGGGAAUAUUGGACAAUGGGCGAAAGCCUGAUCCAGCCAUGCCGCGUGUUUGAAGAAGGUCUUCGGAUUGUAAAGCACUUUAAGUUGGGAGGCGUUACCAACAGAAUAAGCACCGGCUAACUUCGUGCCAGCCGCCGCGGUAAUAC